AAAGACUUGACGGUGUCUCACAACAACCUAGAGGAGCCUGUCCACUAACCGAUACUCCACGAUUAACCCAGCCUUUUCUAGCCACCAGUCUAUAUACCACCGUCGCCAGCUUACCUUAUGAAAGAAACACAGUGAGCCAAAUAACUCAACAUUAACACGACAGGUCGAGGUGUAACUUAUGAAAAGGAAAAGAUGGGCUACAUUUUCUAAAACAGAAAACCACGAAUAAACUAUGAAACAAGAAACUGAAGGCGGAUUUAGCAGUACAUUAAAAAUAAAAUACUUAAUAGAAACCAACGCAAUGAGACGCGUACACACCGCCCGUCAUCCCUG
rnacentral:rRNA from 1 species